rnacentral:ncRNA from 1 species
CUUAUGAAGAAAGGUGGAGGGAUAAGGCCCUACGAAACCUUGGCAACCUAGCUAACUCAGUUAGAAAAGGUGCCAAAUCCAAUCUUGGUUUUUACUGAGAAACGAUAAG